CAAAUUACAUAGCCUUUAAAAAUUUUAAGGGUGCGACGAAGAAGUAGAUUGACAUUGUCUUCGUCCGGCUUCCUUUGACUUUUGAAUAUAGAUUACAAUUGAGUAAGCCAAUCGAAGCAACAAUUCUAUCUUCCAGUAACAUAUGAAACGUACUUAACAUGUAAUUUCACAUUUGACGAGAAUGCAAGACACGAGCUGUAUUGCUGCGGGGCAGUAUCACGAGUAACAAAUUAGGUUUGUGUUUGUGGUUAAAUGAAAAAGAGCUUACGAUCCGCGUUUAUCACGUUUAUGGCAGUUAGAUCACCUUAAGUUUGUUCUGCGUGCCUAGUACAACUUGCCGAUGAAACAUUCAAUGGCUCUUGACGUCAUUUAUCCUCUACACAACUAUAUUAGUGAUCAAUCAAAGUGAUUUAAAGUUAUUCAUCGGAAUAACUAAUGGAACCGUUUAGUAUAAGUAAAAAUAAUUGAUUUGUGGGCCUUACAAGUUGAGUUAUUGUUGUCUCUUUGUUACAAUAGAUAACUUCCUUAUUUAGUAAAAAUUGAUUGUUGUGUCAUUUCUAAACUAUUCCUAAGAAGAAUUAUUCGGCACAAUGUAUUGUACAAAAGCAUAAUUGAGAGAAAAUUGUAAUUUUAAAGUUUAAAAAUGCUGCAACCGUGUUGAUGUGAUUAAUAUUUUAUUGUAAGAUGUUCUUUUCUUUAGGUUUCUAUCUCUUUAUAUCGAGUGACGAUGUGUAAGUGAGAAUUCUGUAUUUAGAAACUAACUAGUAACAUUGUUAAACCCUCGUUAUAAAUAUGAUCUAUAUUCAAUAAAGUAAUCGGCACUCGUCAGCUAACGAAAGAG